GACGAACGCUGGCGGCGUGCCUAACACAUGCAAGUCGAGCGAGAGACUUCGGUCUCUAGCGGCGGACGGGUGAGUAACACGUGGGUAACCUGCCUCAUAGUGGGGGAUAGCCUUCCGAAAGGAAGAUUAAUACCGCAUAUACUCUCGAUACCACAUGGUGUUUAGAGGAAAGGAGCAAUCCGCUAUGAGAUGGACCCGCGGCGCAUUAGCUAGUUGGUGAGGUAACGGCUCACCAAGGCGACGAUGAGUAGCCGACCGGAGAGGGUGAUCGGCCACAUUGGAACUGAGACACGGUCCAGACUCCUACGGGAGGCAGGAGUGGGGAAUAUUGCACAAUGGGCGAAAGCCUGAUGCAGCAACGCCGCGUGAGUGAUGACGGCCUUCGGGUUGUAAAGCUCUGUCUUUUGGGACGAUAAUGACGGUACCAAAGGAGGAAGCCACGGCUAACUACGUGCCAGCCGCCGCUGUAA
rnacentral:rRNA from 1 species